rnacentral:rRNA from 1 species
UGUCCUCGAGUAGGGCGAGGCACGUGAAACCUUGUCUGAAUAUGGGGGGACCAUCCUCCAAGGCUAAAUACUCCUGACUGACCGAUAGUGAACCAGUACCGUGAGGGAAAGGCGAAAAGAACCCCGGGAGGGGAGUGAAAUAGAUCCUGAAACCGUAUGCUUACAAAAAGUCGGAGCCUCGAAAGAGGUGACGGCGUACCUUUUGUAUAAUGGGUCAGCGACUUUGUCUCUCGAGCAAGCUUAAGCCGGUAGGUGUAGGCGCAGCGAA